GAACUUCAUGACCUUGGCUCUAGACUGCUUACUGCUUAUGGAGUCCGACAGUACAGUAACAGUCUACAGUCAUGGCUACUGAAGUCUG
rnacentral:pre_miRNA from 1 species